rnacentral:rRNA from 1 species
GACGAACGCUGGCGGCGUGCUUAACACAUGCAAGUCGAACGGUGAAGGAAGAGCUUGCUCUUCCGGAUCAGUGGCGAACGGGUGAGUAACACGUGGGGCAACCUGCCCCUGACUCUGGGAUAACUCCUCGAAAGAGUGCUAAUACCGGAUACGACCACUUCGGACAUCCGAUGGUGGUGGAAAGUUUUUCGGUCAGGGAUGGGCCCGCGGCCUAUCAGCUAGUUGGUGGGGUAAUGGCCUACCAAGGCGACGACGGGUAGCCGGCCUGAGAGGGCGACCGGCCACACUGGGACUGAGACACGGCCCAGACUCCUACGGGAGGCAGCAGUGGGGAAUAUUGCGCAAUGGGCAAAGCCUGACGCAGCGACG